GCAGCCAUGUCAAGCGAAAAAAAGAGCGACGUGAACUAAUAGCGGCUGUUAUUUCGAGAUACAGAGGGUUAAAGUCAGCGGGGUUGUUUCUAAAUGACAGUCAGCCUUCUACUUGAUUUAGGCGCUGUUGAAGCUGGUCUGCAUUAUGUUUCUUUUAUGCGGAUAAGGACAUUGCUGGGACAGUCUGACAUCGAUGUCCUAAGAACGGAGUCUUAAACUGAACCUGCUUCGCCUUUUAUGUGACCCAGUAACGUUAGUUUGUUUCUGGAGAAAACGAGCCAAAUGAUGUCAGGAAAGCAUUACAAGGGUCAAGAAGUCAGCUGCUGCAUCAAAUAUUUCAUAUUUGGAUUUAACAUAAUAUUUUGGUUGCUUGGGGUGGCUUUCCUUGGGAUCGGAUUAUGGGCGUGGAGUGAGAAGGGAGUUCUGUCUAACAUCUCCUCCAUCACGGAUCUGGGUGGAUUUGAUCCAGUGUGGUUGUUUCUGGUGGUUGGGGGGGUGAUGUUCAUCCUGGGUUUCGCUGGCUGUAUCGGGGCCCUGAGGG